rnacentral:tRNA from 7 species
CGCGGGGUGGAGCAGCCUAAUAGCUCGUCGGGCUCAUAACCCGAAGGUCGUCGGUUCAAAUCCGGCCCCCGCAACCA